GUCUGGUGGCACAUGCCUGUAGUCCCAGCUACUCAGGAGACUGAGGUAGGAGGAUCACUUGAGCCCAGGAGUUCUGGGCUGUAGUGCUCGAUGCCUGUCGGGUGUCCGUACUAAGUUUGGCAUCAAUAUGGUGAUCUCCUGGGAGCAGGGGACCACCAGGUUGCCUAGGGAGGGGUGAACCAGGUCGGAAACGAGCAGGUCAAAACUCCCGUGCCGAUCAGUAGUGGGAUCGCACCUGUGAAUAGUCACUGCACUCCAGCCUGGGCAACAUAGUGAUACCUAUCUUUA
ensembl:misc_RNA Metazoa_SRP Metazoan signal recognition particle RNA